rnacentral:snoRNA from 1 species
AGGUUGUGCUCAAGAGCUGGCGGCCACAGUGCCUGUCGGUUUACAACACAGCAACCAGAAUCCGGGUGCGCUGUGACAAUAAGUGCGACACUUUCUGGGCUCCCAUGGACAACCGCCCUACACAC